rnacentral:rRNA from 1 species
GGCUACACACGUGCUACAAUGGGUAGUACAGGGAGUCGCAAAGCCGUGAGGUGGAGCUAAUCUCAGAAAACUAUUCUUAGUUCGGAUUGUACUCUGCAACUCGAGUACAUGAAGUUGGAAUCGCUAGUAAUCGCGAAUCAGCAAUGUCGCGGUGAAUACGUUCUCGGGUCUUGUACACACCGCCCGUCACACCACGAGAGUUGGUUGCACCUGAAGUAGCAGGCCUAACCGUAAGGAGGGAUGCUCCGAGGGUGUGAUUAGCGAUUGGGGUGAAGUCGUAACAAGGUAUCCGUACGGGAACGU